UUUAUAUUUCCACAUUUAUUUAUUUAUUUAAUUAUUUAUUUAUUUCCCUUUAUAUUUCCUCAGUCCACCAAGAAAAGGAAAAAUGCAAAUCAGUUUGCUCUGGGCGGGGAUUCUGAACACAGGAGUCCUGCCUGACACCAGCUCCCAGCACGGCUGAAGUGAAGCCAUGUCACCGUUGAGCUUCGGCUUAUUCUGCCACACUGAUAAGAAAAUAAACAUUAAUUUACCGAAUUAGCAGCGUCCUUUCAGUGUCUGAUGGCAGAAUCAGCCGAAGUUCCACGGUGACACGGCUUCACUUCAGCCGUGGUCGGAGCUGGCGUCAGGACAGAAGCCUGUGUGCGGAUACGACUCCCCACCCUGAAAAGGAAGCCCCGCCCAGAGCAAACUGAUUUGCAUUUUUCUAUUUCAUGGUGUCAGGCCAUUAUGAAAUAACCACCAAGAAAUAAAAUGCAAAUCAGUUUGCUUUCACUUGGUGGACUGAGCUGUCAAUCAAAUGGCUCUAGGCGGGGCUUCCUCGUCGUUCCUCAUCACAGGCAUAUGAAGAGUAGAUACGACACGCCCAUCUGAGCGGCGUCCCGACGGAGACGCUAAGCUCGCGGGGGCAAAGUUUCAGUGUUUUCCAUUGAUGUGUACGGCACGAAAAUUAAAACAAGAAGAAUGCCGGCUCAUUGUGCGGCAUACAGUUGCACACUACAUCGGACGAUCAAGACAAGGAAACUUGGAAUAACUUUCCACAGGGUGGGGAAAAUGUUGCUGUGGCCCAUUACAUGGUGAGCCAGAGAGGAACAGGCCGACAUUCCCACAUCACUGGACGCAGUGUACAUAAUCAAAGAAUUGAAAGAUUAUGGCGAGAUGUGUAUGGAAAUGUCCUUGACUUGUUCCACACACUGUUUCUCAAUUUGGAAGUGGAAGGGUUUCUAAGCCCUGAAAAUGAACUGGAGUUAUUCGUUCUCCACUGGACCUAUGUCCCAGAGCUGCAACAGCAUCUUCAGGCAUUUAAGGAAGCCUGGAAUCACCAUAGUUUGAGGACAAAGAGAGGGCAAUCCCCCAUGCAACUGUCAGCCAUGUGAGGGAAAUGCUGCUGAUCCAGUUGAGGUAUGAAUCCCCUCUUGUACCUUUACCUUCCUGUCUUCCUUUAUAUUUGUUUAUGUUAACUUUAUUAUUUCUACUUUGGUACUGGAUGGUUCAAUUGACAGAGAAAAAAAUCUAAUGCGUGUGAUCUCACUUUCUGAUUCAGAGUCCAGAUUUGAUUUCUUAACAAAUUGAAAUUACCAAAGCAUAUUUAACAAACACAGUGUAGAUGUAUGCUGUCUAACACUGCUAGGAGAACCUGGACAUUUCAAAAAUGCUAUACUUGGUUUAGUAGCACAAUAAUAUCUAUUCUUUAUAGAGCUGUGACAGGUCCUGUUUCUGUACUUGGUAUUUUUAAAUUUUAACAUAUAAACAUAUGCAUAGAUAUUUCAAUGGUGUAAAAUAAUAUCUAUAAUAUCUAUACAAUUUUAUAGUUCAUGAAUUUACUCCUUGCACAUCUUGUUGUCCUACCCACAUUUGAAAUCAAGUUUUGCCAUACCAUGUAGUCCCUAAUCUACUUUACUUUUUUUAUUUUUUGAGGAGUGUGCAUUUCUUAAUAAAAGACCUUGCUUCCAAAUUAUGCUUUCCUUUCAGGUUGCUGCUGAUUAUGGGAUAGACUGGACAGGACCUCACACCCCAUACCCAGAAGGCAUCACUGUACCUGAUGCACAACUACCCCGGCAGCUUAUACAGGCUGAAGUUACAUCAUUGCCUGAUCCGGCCGUUCCUUUUUCUGCUGCACUACGGGCAUACAUGGAUACAGUGUAUAUUCUUAAGGACAUUUUUCAACAAACCUAGACAUAUCACAACUCACCUUAACAUAAUCAGAAUGAAACGAACAAGACUCAAAAGAAUGCUGCAAAUUUUUGGUGCAGAAUUUUAUGACCAGUUGUGAAUUUCAAAUAAAUGCCUUUGAAAACAACAAUGUACAAAGACACAGCAAAGGGAUAUAAAACUGCUUUUAUUGCAUGCUGAAUAGUUUGACAGCUUUUAAAAGCAUCAAAACAAUGUGCCAAUAAAAAGGUUUUUUU